ensembl:lncRNA
AAAUGACCUGGGAUCAGUGCAUGAGUCCAACAACACUGUGAUUCCGGAUGAUCACUGGAACUCUACGCCCACUAAGGUUCACCACGAGCCUGAAUGAAUCUGUACAAAGCAGAAGAAAAAUGGGAAAUUGUCAUAAACUUUUCAAACAAGGUCAAAUUGAAGUUUGGCUCAAGAGCUGGAGAAGGAAAAACACUUGGAAGACUGAUGGAGUGUCACUGCAUUGAUUCCAAAGGAAUUACUUAUGAUUUACAGUGGUGUAAGAACUGAGAAAAAUCAAGCCUUAAUAAACUGAUACGACUUUUUCUGCCUCUGCCACAAAAAUUAGGAUGCAUCAAAUGCAAGCUGCAGACAGCAAGCUCAGACAAACAGGAAACGCCAUUUUAUCCUAUAACAUAUACUGAAGCCAUGGAACUGCUUUCAGCACUGUGGAUUCACACAGGUCCUCCACCACUUCCCUGGGCAAUAUCAGUUUGCAAGGAGACAUUACGAGUGGAAAAAAACGAUCAAUCAAACCUAAAAUCAAAUAUAACCCUUCCCCCCCAGAUAGAAAACAACAACAACAAAAAACAUUAAGUAAAAACAUUGUGGUUAAGUAACAACCACAAUAGUAUACCAGUUACUAGCAGGUAACAAACUGUACAUGCUCAGGUAGGAUGAUCUUUUCAAACCAAGAUAAAGCUGCUGAAGCAUUUCUCCUUAAUUUAGGAAUCUAUCCAUUACCAUGUGUCAACUAAGCAUCAAGUUUCACCUUUUUGGAGUCAUUUCAAGGACAUUUCCCAAACUGUUGGAUCAGUUACAAUCACAGAAUUAUUUUUCCCAAUCCAGGGUAUUUGGUUAUUGUCUGUCAUGUAGUGAAGAAGUAUGGGUGGGUAAAUAGAAACAUAUUGAAAUAGACCACUUCCCAGAUUACAUCAAAUUAUGAGACAACUUUGAGGCAUAAUAGCAUAAUGUAGGAUUAGUAAGCAUGCCUUUGAACGUAAUAAUGUUAUUCAGUUACCUACUCAUUUCAUUGCCUGGGUAUAACCAGUAUAAGACAUUAAGAAUUGAGCAAAUGAGCAGACAUUAUAGAAGCAUAAACCUGAAUCCAAUAGUAAUAUUUACAAGACUGAGAGCACGUGGCUCACACAAACACUGAGCCUAGCACUUCUGCUUGACAUCAAGGCUCUGUAAACAAUAAACUGUAGAUGUCUUUAUAAAGAUGAAUAAACAUGAAGAUUUCACACAGCCCUUUCAAAGGUAUUGGCUGCUGCAGUAUUCAGUAGGGAUAUCACCUGAUGCUACCACCUAAAUCUAGAGUUAGCAGGAAGUUUUGCUCACAAGAAGGCUAUGUGAAGUAGCAAACAUGGUAAUUUAGUGAGACAGUUCAAAAGAUUAAAAAGCUCCAAUUCCCUAUGUUCCUGGCUUUAUUUUCUCCUCAAACCUACCCUUACAAUGACCACCAGCAAUGUUCAAAAAAUCAUGUAUGAUGAUAGCCCAACACAAUAUUUAUUCUCUAAGUUUUUCUCAUGUUCCUGAAUUCUUAUCCGCACUGAUAAAUCUUAUAUAGAAAUGCAUG